UACAGAGGUCUCAAGCGUUGUUCGGAUUCAUUGGGCGUAAAGGGUGUGUAGGUGGCGCCGUAAGUCGGGUGUGAAAUCUCGGGGCUUAACUCCGAAACUGCAUUCGAUACUGCGGUGCUUGAGGACUGGAGAGGAGACUGGAAUUCAUGGUGUAGCAGUGAAAUGCGUAGAGAUCAUGAGGAAGACCAGUGGCGAAGGCGGGUCUCUGGACAGUUCCUGACACUGAGACACGAAGGUCAGGGGAGCAAACGGG
rnacentral:rRNA from 1 species